AAGGUUGAAGUUAGCUCAAAUUUGGAUUUUGAUUCCCUUUUUUGAAAGGUUUUUUCGGUAUUUAUGAUCUCAAAGUAUUUUGGUAUUAAUUUGGUCCAACUCAAAGUGGUUUCAAUUUAAGGCAGCAAAACACGAAUUCAAAACCAAAUCUGAACCUAACUCUACAAGAACGUUCAUUUAUCAAACACCGAUAUUAUAUCAAUCACAGGUUAAAGGUUUUCAAUUUUACAAAUUUGCUAAGAAUUAGUUUGCAAGUUUAAUAAUUAUGCUAAGUCAGUUUUAAAUAUGAAACUUCAUGAGAUAAAUAAAUUGUAGUGAAUACAUUCAAAAUAAACAACCUGAACAAUUUUACUUAAAAGUCAGAGAAUGGAAGUAAUGCAACUACAAUACGGUGGAAGAAUAUUUCAUAUGAAUCACUUUUCGCAAAAACGACGUAAGGUAUUUUAAGAAGCUGAGUGUUGUUUGUGACAAUGGUGAACUUCGUAUUUGUACAAAAAUGACACAAAUCUAUUUAGUCUAUAUGCCAAAAGUAUUAGCACAAUUUGUAAAAUUCUAGAAGCAACAACUUAAGCCUAUUAUCGAUACAUCCUUUGAGAUUCACUGUAGAAAGUAUAAUGAAGAAUGUCGAGUUUAAUAAGUGACAGUAAUCAAAGUGCGAGCAAGGCAACUUUGAAGAAACGAAUUCGGAAGUCUAUAAACGAACUUAUAACUGAAAAUGGAAAAUUUAGGAAAGGACACGUCAAUUGAGUGUAGAUUUACCAGGUCGAAGUAGAUCAUGGAAACGUACCGGCUCUCACUUUAUAUGGACUUUACUAAAUGCCCAAGGAGUCAGGACAAAUACCACAUGCACAUGUGUAACUGGUUGCCUAAACGCUUUAUAAGUAUUCUAUUAAAAAAUAAAACUAAUUAAUUACAAUAAGAACAAAUAAAUUUAUCCCGCUUUAACAUCCCCGUAAAUGUUGAAAAUAUUCAUCAUUUUGUUCAAAGCACAUGUUCACUCUCUUUUUAAUUUCAAAAAUGUUCUGUAACAUCCUUUGGUCGAUGCUUUGGACCCAUUGUUCAAGUUUAUGUUGCAGCAGGAACUCCUGACUAUUGAGGAAAUCUUGAAAGAUGUUUGCGGAUUCUGCUCAAGUCGUUUCAAAUCAUCAACAACUUUCUCAGAUACUGAAGGUCUUCCAAGAGAUUUCGCUUACAAAUGACAUUAAUGACAAGUGAGAAUUGUCAUAAUAAUGAGGCAUAAAUACACAAUAUGUUAAAACAAGCACCUUGCUCAUAGUGAAGCAAUGACAGAUAAUGACAACGGCUUAAAUAAAAAGUAUCGAACUGUUUUCCCAGAAUUGAGAACAAGACUUUAGUACAAAGCAUUACGGACAUAUAUAUUUGUGCAUUUUCUAAUCAAGAUUUUGUAACUCUUUUCAAUUUGUUAAAACAUCACUAAGGAAGUAGCACAGUAAGGUCUUAGAAACUUUUUGAAGUGAAAUCCAGUUCUGAUACGAUAAACGAAGCUAUUGUUGAUCAGCCAAAAGCUCACAUAAAACUUUUAUCAUUUCAAAGGCACCAUUUUCAGAUAAACAGAUAAAAUUCGCAGAAAAGACUUAAAGAACAUUGCAAGCGUAACCUUGUAAAAAUAUAUAAAUAAAUGUUCAUUAACUGUUAUGGAAUUUGGAAUAAACAGAAUACUUGGACAAUAACACCUAACAUAAAAAUAGAACCCGAGGAGCGUAUUUACAAACAGCAAAUUUAAUUAGAUGGAAUCUAAUCUUCAAGUCUGCAGUAAAGUUAAAAUUUUUGUUCUGUUCGGUUUGUGAUCUACUGGGUUUGCAUUGUAGAAUAAUACUCCUAUAUUUUUUUUAAACAAAUAUUUGUGUGUACUCAAAACUGGCAGAAAAAAUCAAGAGCUCUAUUGCUGGACCACCGACUAAGUGAAGACUUACCACAGAGAUGCUGUAAAUUAGAUCUUGGUUCAUGGACUCAAAAUGAAGAUAAUGAAGAAAACCAACAACGCCAAAGAAGAUACGUCAGCGAGUUGUUUCCGCCCAGAGGAGAAGUUAUAAACGACAAUUUGAAAUACCUGGAUCGUGAUUUCGUUUCUGUGCCUUUUUACCGAAUACAGAAAGUUUUUGUGUAUAGAAGACGCCUUCACAAAGAAGAAUAACUAUUGGUCGUGUGAAUUUGAGACCAAUAUGUCGAUUUAAAUAACUUAAUUUAUUUAUGUACAGUAUGAAUAAAUUUAUUUUUUUACUGUGA